rnacentral:rRNA from 1 species
GAUGAACGCUAGCGGCAGGCCUAAUACAUGCAAGUCGAACGGUGUCUUCGGACAUAGUGGCGCACGGGUGCGUAACACGUAUGCAACCUACCUUACAUUGGGGGAUAGCCUUUCGAAAGGGAGAUUAAUACCGCAUAAGACAGUAGCUGGGCAUCCAGCAGCUGUUAAAGAUUUAUCGAUGUAAGCUGGGCAUGCGUCCAAUUAGCUAGUUGGUGAGGUAACGGCUCACCAAGGCAAUGAUUGGUAGGGGAACUGAGAGGUCAAUCCCCCACACUGGAACUGAGAUACGGGCCAGACUCCUACGGGAGGAAGCAGUAGGGAAUAUUGGGCAAUGGACGCAAGUCUGACCCAGCCAUGCCGCGUGCAGGAUGAAGGCGUUAUGCGUUGUAAACUGCUUUUAUACAGGAAGAAACGACUCUUGCGAGAGGCAUUGACGGUACUGUAUGAAUAAGCACCGGCUAACUCCGUGCCAGCCGCCGCCGUAA